AGUAGCCACGCAUGCGCAGUGGGCGUCUUCUGUACAACAUGGCUUCAGAAUCAAACAUGGAGGAGUGUAUUCCAUCUCCCGGCACUCCGGACUCAAGGAAAAGGCCACUGGACAUCGAUUCAGACGAUGCAAUGUCCAAGCGUUCACAUUACAUACCAGAUAUGCAGAGUGAAGGGACAUAUCACCUCAAGAUUUUGGUGCCAAGUGUUGCAGCUGGUGCUAUCAUCGGCAAAGGGGGAGAGACAAUUGCACAACUUCAAAAAGAUACCAGUGCCCGAGUUAAGAUGUCUAAAGCCAACGAUUUCUAUCCAGGUACUACAGAGCGUGUUUGCCUCAUCACGGGUAAUGUUGAUGCAAUAUGCACUGUGCUUUCAUUCAUAAUGGAGAAAAUUAAAGAGAAACCUGACCCAAAUGCCAAGCCAGCAAUUGACUUUGAUAACAAGAUGACUGCAGAAAGAGAAAAACAGAUUUCAAGAAGUGCUCGAUCUCCACAGGUGAAGAUUUUGGUCCCCAAUAGCACAGCGGGCAUGAUCAUUGGUAAGGGUGGCACUUACAUCAAGCAGAUCAAAGAAGAAAGUGGGGCCUAUGUUCAGAUCUCCCAAAAAGCUAAAGACCAGUCUUUAGCCGAGCGGUGUAUCACUGUCAUAUCCAAUGAUGUGGAAAAUAGCAAGAAUGCGUGUUUGAUGAUCUUGGCGAAGAUUGUUGAGGAUCCCCAGAGUGGCACAUGUCUCAACGUGAGCUACGCUGACAUCACUGGUCCUGUCGCCAACCCUAACCCAACAGGUUCACCUUUUGCUAACUCCCCUGGAGGACAGGGUAUGCAGAAUGGUGGUUUGGGUGGAUUGAAUAAUCCACUUUCUGCUGUAAGUGGAUUAGGCAAUCUCCUUGGUGGAGGUGUAAACCUAACAUUGAACUUGAGCUCAGCAUAUCCAAAUGGUGGUGCUGGAAACCCAGUUGUUACUGCCCAGCUCUUGGAGCACGUGAGGUCCAUUCUCCGUUCUUCUGGUUUUGCCGAUCAAUCCAAUGCUGAGGUUUGCCAGGCCAUCAACACACUAAUCAAUUACGGUAUCAUCGGCUUAGGGCUGGGUCUUGGUAACCCCUCGGGUCAUCAGGGGAGUCAUGGAGGCCAGGGGGGUCAAGGACAAGGCAAUAUGGGAGGUAAUCCUAUGUUAGGAAACAUGAACAACUCUAACAACCCUAAUGAAUCUUACCAUGGAUCAUCAAUGAGUAAUGGGAACAAUGGCCCUUUUGGGCCCAUCGGCACAACAGUGGCCUCGGGUCUAAACUUAGGGCAAGGCCUAGGUGGACCAACCUCCCCUCAACGUCAAGUGGAUCGUUUCAAUUCUGAGCCCCCUUUUGAUCCUUUUCGCCGGCAGUCUACAGAAAUGGGGGGGAGUCUACCCCUGAACAGUAACUCAUUUGGGCUCGGCACUCCUUUAAGGAAGAGCCCAUCUCCCGGGGAACUUCCUCCAGGAGCUCCAGAUGGUAGCAAGAAGGUUGAGGUGGAAGUUGGUGAGCACAUUGUUGGCGCUAUCCUGGGUCCUGGGGGAAAGUCUCUGGUAGAGAUCCAGCAUAUCUCCGGCACCACUAUUCAGAUCUCCAAGAAGGAUAAUGGGUGACCCCAAUGUCAUGAAUGAUGAGUAAGCUGGUGUGUAUGUGUGGAGCUGACAGUGCCAGGCUGUGGUGGUGGCGGCAGCAGGAGGGUGAGAGAGGCUCUCCACGCAGGCUCGGCACUCCCCUCCACACAGCUUCUCUGAGAUGCUGAGAUGCUUCCUGCUAGAACCACACACAACCAUCACCAGAAGGCAAUACUAGAGCACUUAUAAAGUGUCAUAAAACCACAAAUAAAGAAAGAAUAAUGAAUGGACAAACGGCCUCACAUGGAUCACCUAAGUAUUUAAGACUUCCAGCUUUUUCAAAACAAAAUCCAAUAGCCUGAAAGUCUGAAAUGAGCCACGUAUUAAAACGGUGACAUCUGAAAUUGUUAAAUAAGGGUUUGCUGUACAGUAACAACAGAAUAACCAAUUUGCUUAUAAAAUGUCAAACCUGAUGAACACCUCUCAGGAGUUGAGGAAAUUUUUUAUUUUGAUAUGGCAAAAAGAGGAGUUGAGGAAGAAUGGUAGAGUGUAGUGAACAAUAAAAUCAUUUAAUGCGUAGUAAGGGAUCUGCAUCACUAUUUUGGUUAAAGUGAAAAUUGAGUUCACCUCAAAUUUACUGAUGAAUUUCAUUUUACAGGAUAUUUAUUAGUUCAUUCUUAUAACUUACAGAAGAAAGUGAUAAUGUAUGGAAAAUAUAGUUAGUUGUCUUUAGGUAAGAUUCACAAUGAGUUUUGUAAAAUUAUCUUCUUUUUUUUUUAAUCAACUUGGUAAUAAGAGAAGAGGCUCUUCAGAAAUAGUAAAAAAAGUUCCUGUGAAAUUAAUGUGAGCAUGGGCAGCUGAUGCAAGCUUUUAUGUUAAAAAUGUUUGCCUUGUAAGUAAAAGGACUUGGCUUCAGCUUGUGUACUCCCUCUUUCACUGUUGCAUUUUUCACCUAACCCCUCCAUUUUAUCCAUUGAUAAAACAACAGGGGAAGGCUUUAUUAUCAGAAAUAUAAGUUAGAAAAACAGGUAUUGAGACAAGAUGAAGCAGGCGAUGGUGUAUUGUUUGGUCUUGGGGAGAGCACAAUACGUGGUAUUAACCACCUGUGUACAAGGUCUUCUCCGAGCUGAAUAAAUCGUUUGGUGUUAGCCAAAUAAAAUAUUAAAAGUGGCAUCACCAUAGUGAAGGGUUUAAGAAGAAUGCUAACAAUAAGGAACUUGGUGCAAUCAACAUCCCUUUUGUCAAAGAUAAGAAUAUUGAGGCCAAAGCUAGAUAAAAUGGAGAUGCUCAGAAUGUAUAAUCAUGACCAGAACCAAAAGAAAGUUGUAGAUUUCAAGUGGUUUCAUCUCUGGUGAUGGUGAGUAUAUAUAUAUACAGGGAUAUAUAUUUUUUUUAUACUUUAUAAUAUAUCAGGUACAGUACCUAUAGUAAAUAUUUUAUUUUAUUAAGGGGAUUUUUCAUUGUAUUUGUUAUGAUGUAAUGUUGGCCAAAUUUUGAUUGGAAUACAAAACCCCCACAUAAAGUGAGGGUCACUGGUAAUUAAUUGUUAUAAGAUCAUAUGCAUGAUCACAAUGAGUGGUUUAAAUUUUUUGGAGGUUUUAAUAGUUUUGUUAUAAAAAUCCAUUUUUCCCCUUUAUAAAUUUUUUUUCGACUUGUGGGAAACUACUCUGCAGGUACAGUAGUCCUUAUAUAUUGCAAAUUUGCAUAUGGUAGUUUCAGUCAUUUGCAAUUUAUAUUUUAUAACCAAAAUUAUAACUUUUUUUUCACAAUAUUCUCAAAAGAAAAUUAAAAUCACACACAAGAGCCAUCUAGAUAUGUAUCGUCUUGCUGGGAGAGCCACACACCUCAUUAAAUCACUCGUCACAGCUUAAAUAAUUAAAAAUUUAUGCAUUCUUAUACUGUACGUAUUUACAUGUUUAUUGUUUUAUAGUCAUACAUACAGUACAGUACGUAUAGUAAAAACUGGAUAUACUGUAGAUGGUGGUGGAGGGUAGUUGUUGCCGAGUGAUGAGAGGUGGUCAGAUGACAAAAUACCUGUACUGAGAAAGUAUGCAUAUUCCAUAAAAUUAUAUUUUAUAUUGUUUUUCAUGUAUAAUUGUAUGGUUUUCAUGUUUAAUUAUUGAUUAUAUAUUGUAGUUAUUAUAUAUUUAAAUUUUUUUUUUCAUUUUAUGAAUCAUUCUGUAACUAAAAUUAUUAAAGUACUAUAGUACAGUACCUCCAAAAUUCCUAGUCAGGAACAUAACCCCCCCCCCACCUUAUUGGGAAAAUCAGCAGUUUCACAAUAAAGAACUGAAACAC
rnacentral:misc_RNA from 1 species